rfam:Methanoplanus petrolearius DSM 11571, complete genome.
GCUGAUAUAGUGUAGUCCGGCCAAUCAUGCAGGACUCUCACUCCUGCGACUGGGGUUCGAAUCCCCAUAUCAGCA